GCAGUCAUGGCCUAAUGGUUAGAGUCUCAGACUUGUAACCUGAAGGUCGCGGGGUCGAGUCUCAGGUCCGGCA